rnacentral:rRNA from 1 species
GGUGAACGCUGGCGGCGUGCUUAAGACAUGCAAGUCGAACGGCAGUCUUCGGACUGUAGUGGCGCACGGGUGAGUAACGCGUAACUGACCUACCCCAAAGUCGCGGAUAACGAUUCGAAAGAAUCGCUAAUACGUGAUGUGCUGUCAGAUUGUGUUCUGCCAGUAAAGAUUGAUUGCUUUGGGAUGGGGUUGCGUUCCAUCAGCUAGUUGGUGGGGUAAAGGCCCACCAAGGCGACGACGGAUAGCCGGCCUGAGAGGGUGGCCGGCCACAGGGGCACUGAGACACGGGUCCCACCCCUACGGGAGGCAGCAGUUAGGAAUCUUCCACAAAGGGCGAAAGCCUGAUGGAGCGACGCCGCGUGAGGGAUGAAGGUCUUCGGAUCGUAAACCUCUGAAUCAGGGACGAAAGACACUUCGGUGGGAUGACGGUACCUGAGUAAUAGCACCGGCUAACUCCGUGCCAGCCGCCGCCGUAAGAC